CCUACGGGUGGCAGCAGUGAGGAAUAUUGGUCAAUGGACGGAAGUCUGAACCAGCCAAGUAGCGUGAAGGAUGACUGUCCUACGGGUUGUAAACUUCUUUUAUAAAGGAAUAAAGUGAGGCACGUGUGCCUUUUUGUAUGUACUUUAUGAAUAAGGAUCGGCUAACCCCGUGCCAGCAGCCGCGGUAAUACGGAGGAUCCGAGCGUUAUCCGGAUUUAUUGGGUUUAAAGGGAGCGUAGAUGGGUUGUUAAGUCAGGUGUGAAAGUUUGCGGCUCAACCGUAAAAUUGCAAUUGAUACUGGCAGCCUUGAGUACAGUUGAUGUAUGCGGAAUGCGUGGUGUAGCGGUGAAAUGCUGAGAUAUCACGAAGAACUCCGAGUGCGAAGGCAGCCUACUAAACUGCCACUGACAGUGAUGCUCGAAAGUGUGGGUAUCAAACAGGAUUAGAUACCCUGGUAGUC
rnacentral:rRNA from 1 species